rnacentral:rRNA from 1 species
ACGCUGGCGGCGUGCUUAACACAUGCAAGUCGAACGGUGAAGGGGAGCUUGCUUCCCGGAUCAGUGGCGAACGGGUGAGUAACACGUGGGCAAUCUGCCCCAGACUUUGGGAUAACUACUCGAAAGAGUAGCUAAUACCGAAUAUUCAGCCUUGCAGGCAUCUGCGAGGCUGGAAAGUUUCUCGGUCUGGGAUGAGCCCGCGGCCUAUCAGCUAGUUGGUGAGGUAAUGGCUCACCAAGGCGACGACGGGUAGCCGGCCUGAGAGGGCGACCGGCCACACUGGGACUGAGACACGGCCCAGACUCCUACGGGAGGCAGCAGUGGGGAAUAUUGCGCAAUGGCGAAAGCCUGACGCAGCAACGCCGCGUGCGGGAUGAAGGCCUUCGGGUUGUAAACCGCUUUCAGCAGGGAAGAAGCGAAAGUGACGGUACCUGCAGAAGAAGCACCGGCUAACUACGUG